rnacentral:rRNA from 1 species
GCCGCGGUAAUACGGAGGGAGCUAGCGUUGUUCGGAAUUACUGGGCGUAAAGCGCACGUAGGCGGCUCAGCAAGUCAGGGGUGAAAUCCCGGGGCUCAACCCCGGAACUGCCCUUGAAACUGCUAAGCUAGAAUCCUGGAGAGGCGAGUGGAAUUCCGAGUGUAGAGGUGAAAUUCGUAGAUAUUCGGAAGAACACCAGUGGCGAAGGCGACUUACUGGACGACUGUUGACGCUGAGGUGCGAAAGCGUGGGGAGCAAACAG